AUUUUAAAGGGCUGCUUUUAGAUAUUAUUUUUUUAAAAAUUUAGUGUCAGAAGCGCCUUGAGAAACUGCAAGUGAGAGAAUUGGCCGUCUGCAAGGAUGUUGUCCAGGGGAUGCCCCGAUAUGUUUCCAUCCUGUGGGAAGCUUCUCUCAUGUCCCUGCAUGAGAAGCUGGAGCUGACAGAUUGGAGCUCACCCCACUCCCCGCAUUCGAACCGCCGACCUUUCAGCCAUCAGUCUUGCCGGCACAAGGGUUUAGCCCAUUGCGCCACCGGGGGCUCCUGUUAUUUAAUUAUAACAUAUAUGAAUAAGCUACUGUCAUAACCACUAGAGAUGGUUCAAUUCAGUAUUACAUGCAGUCACCAAGACUGGAACAUUAGCAGCCUUAAUUUUUUAUAUGAGAGUUAAUGCCCCUUCUCUCUGUCACAUACCAAAGAAAAUAUUAGUGAUGUGUUAAUGAAGCUCAAGAGAGAGGUUGGAUCGUGGAAUAAAAAAUAUGAGAAGCAAAAUAUCUACUGCUAUAGCUAAGUAGUACAGCAGAAUUUGUUAUGUGGAUGUAUCAUCAUUUGUAACUGCCAUUGAGCUUUGCUGGGAUAUUGCAUUGUUUGAUGUUUAUUCAAUACUACACUAUAAGCAGGUUGAGUGUCUCUUAUCCAAAAAGCUUGGGACAACAAGUGUGACGUAUUUCAGAUUUUGGAAUACUUGCAUGUACGUAAUGUGACCUCCUGGAGAUGGGACCUCAGUCUAAACCCAACAUUCAUUUAUGUAUCAUAGACACCUUAUCUGAAUGGCCUGGCGGUCAUUUUGUACAAAAUAUGCCCUUUUAAUAAUAUUGUGAAUGAAACAAAGUUUGUGUGCCUUGAACCACCAGAAAACAAAGGUUUCACUCAGCCAUCCAUGGGGACAAUUUCAGAAUUUGGAAUAUUCCACAUUUCCGAAGCCGGAUAAGGGAUACUCAGCCUGUAUGGCCAUUUUGUUGAUUUUGUGUUUCUAUAGCAUGCAUCUCAUGGCAAACUUUAUGUAUAAUUAAGUAAUUUAUUAUUGUUAUACUCUUCUUUUGUCGGGGACCUUUUUUGAAGUGUUAUAAUAUGUUAGAAACUUUAUUUAAACCAGUGUUUUGGGGGGGGGGGGGUUGGCCCCGGAAACCAGCUGCUCUCGGGUGCCAUAUGCCCUCUAACAAAGCUGGGACAGGGCUGCUUUCUGUUAUAUUGUGUGGUGCAUGUGAUAGCUUUUCUGUUAAUUCUUAUUUAAUGCAUCCGAACACUCAGAAAGCACUUAAGAUUUUUUAAAAGGAAUGCACACAUUGGUGUAGUUCAGGGACAUUCAGGUCAUUUAUGUAAAAUGAUCAUUUAUGUAAAAUGAUGAGAUCCUUUUCAACAGGGGGCAAAAUCUAUAAUAAUAAUACAAUAAUAAAACUUUUAUUUUUAAUCCGCCCUCUCUCCCCAGAGGGACUCAGGGCGGUUUACAGAAAUAACAAAAGUGGCAAACAUAAACAACAAUCAAAGCAGAACAUGAAAUCAAAUAACUCAAUAUAAGUUAUAAACAACUGAAGUAAGGGUUCGACAAAAUAAACAUGAGUACAGAGUUAAACUCAUUUACAACACUAUACAUUAAAAGCACAAUUUAAAACAAUGCGUUAAAAGCACAAUCUGUCUCCCCUAUGCCCAGGUGCUCUCUUUAGCAGCACACAUCCGGCAUCCGAAUUCCACCCUUAAAAAAUACGUUGCCGGAUGAGGAAGGACCAAGGUGAAAGGCCAAGGUAUUUUCUCCCAGGAGGAAAAGGAAGAGUGUGGCUCAGAUGAGGCACCAACAGAAGGCUUCAGGAAGGAAGGCAGUGGUACUUCAUUAAGGACAUUCCCAUUAAGUUCUAAAAGCAUGGUGAAUAAGAGAUUCGCUGAAAAAUUUUGAUGGUGACAGGAUCUGCACAGAAGAGUUGUGAUUCUUGACAUAAAGAGGAUUGACUGCUCCCUUUCUAUGCCCAAAACUUGGCAAAUGAAGACUGGCAAAUUAAUCUUCAGUAUUAAGAAUGGGAAGGUGUCUAUCGAUGCACCUGAACAUAGCAGAUAGGGUCAUGGAUUUUGCACAAGUUACACCGGACCCAUAUUUUGCUCCCAGCACCCUACUUCUGCCCCAAAUCUGGCACCUAAAACAAAUGCUUCCUGCUGGCUAAUGGAAGAGCUGGCCUGUCAGGUGUUCAGAGCUUUAAAAAAAAAUCAACAGCCAACACAAUGUACGUGUUCAUUCAAAAUGACCCACAGGAAUGUACAAAGCUAUGGAUGGCCAGUUUGGGACAAGAGUCGUGAGAAGCACAAACUACAACCUUGCCGCACGAAGGAGGAAAAUGAGAAGCAAUUAUAAAUGACGAGAAUGUUUGCUGAACUCUUGGAAGUCACCAAACAAGCCAGUUGCACAAAGGGAGAGAUCACUGACAGCGAAGAACAGAACAGCCUUGGUGGCUUUCAAGGUCUCCAGUAAUGGAUAGUGACGCCAUCUAAAUGGAUUUUGAAAACACACUAUGGAAAUGGAACUCUUAUGUGUCUACGUUUCAUGCUUUUGUUUUGAAUGUCAGCUUAUUGUAUUUUGUUUCUGUACUUGUCAGGAGAGAAAAGAAAAAAAAAAACAGGCUGAGCUUCUGGACCAAA